rnacentral:rRNA from 1 species
UACGGAGGGUGCAAGCGUUAUCCGGAUUCACUGGGUUUAAAGGGUGCGUAGGUGGGUUGGUAAGUCAGUGGUGAAAUCUCCAGGCUUAACUUGGAAACUGCCAUUGAUACUAUCAAUCUUGAAUACCGUGGAGGUCAGCGGAAUAUGUCAUGUAGCGGUGAAAUGCUUAGAUAUGACAUAGAACACCAAUUGCGAAGGCAGCUGGCUACACGAAUAUUGACACUGAUGCACGAAAGCUAGGGGAGCAAACAGG